rnacentral:lncRNA from 1 species
AUGAAAACAGGGUUUUAUGAUAAAUCUGUUACAGUAAGACUAAGGUCUCUUAAAAAAAAUCUACACUGCCUCUUCAGUUUUCUAAAAUCUGUUUUUUACUGCACAGAUUCAAUAUACCCCAAUCUGAUUUAUUCAUUACCAAUGAUGAAGAUCUCGGCUGUCACUUCUGUGGAUAAAAAGCAAAGGGACUCAUAGUGAACACAGGACAGCUGAUUUAAUCAUUUAAUAAAGAAUUGUUAUCGCAAGCAAGGAGCAUAAAGUCUAAUAUAAGUAAGUCCCUUGGUUCACAUUCUUUGUUUGAAUAGUUUAUUCAUGAGUGUUAGCUGAAGAAUUCCAAAGUAAUAAUUAUGUACUACAUACAUGAAAUAUAUAAAACACUUCAAGUAUGGACCAAUGAUGGGAAUGUGUUACAAACCCCAAAUUAUGUUUAAUCUAAAUCAGCACAACUGAGGUCAUUUUAAAAGCAGACAGAAGUUAUUUAAUUUAUUUUCCUAGCUAUUUAAUAUUAUUUUCUAUUUUCUACCAUGGUUGAUUUCACCAUUUGCAUAUGGGUAGAGGGGCUGAUAACUCUUUGUGGGCAGCCCAGAGGUGAUUCAGAUGGUGGUUUCAUUAUUUUUCAUGGAACCAUCUUUGACAUACAGAUGAAUUAAAUAAAAGAGGGCCACGCAGGAAGCAAUGCUGAAUGUGGGUUUGAUACAAAGCCGGGAUGUUGAUCCAUCCACAUGUGCAGGUUUGAGUUCCAUUACAGAAGAAAUGUCGUUUAUUAGCUCUAUAGGGUGAGAGCCUAAAAUUCAAGGAUCUUGUUUUUGGAAUUUUGUGAUUGUAUUAUUUGUGCAUCAGAAAAUUAAUAAAUGAAAAAAAUUUUCUAGCAAGUACCAGUGAUGAAUCUCAUGGGGUUUGUGAAACAAGAAUUUUGAUUAAGCCCAUCUGCAACUCUGAGGUCCGUAACGAAGAGACAUCUCAUUAUUCUCUUUGUGGGAAAUGAGCGCACAACACCUUAUUCUCAGGCUUUUUGGUUUGGGGUAUGAAUAGCAUUAUUAGAAUAAAUUUAGCCUAUGAAUAAAGAAAUAUAUCAGUGAAUGAGGAAUAAGAGAGAUAUAUGUGUACUACUUUUUAAGGCAUGCAAUGAAACUUUGAUAAUUACGAAAACAAUUUUGAGAUUUUUAGUCCCAGUAAAUUAAUAGUCAAGGCUCUUAUCAUUUUUGUAAGGAGCAUAUGAUCAUUUGCACACAAAACUCAAUGUUUUUGUUUUGUGUGGAGGCGAGUUGCCAAUCAAUCAUUUUAUUAGGAAAGAGAAAUACAUUUACAUAAAUAGUUGAUUGAAUAAACUGUGUAAUUGGGAGGGAAAGCAUUGAAUGAUGAUGAGACUUUUAUUCAGCCACAUUUGUGAUUAAUUCAAUCUUUUUAUGCAAUUUUAUGUUGCAUACAAACAAACUUAAAUUAAAGGAAC